AUGACUGAGAGCUGCUGCUCAGCAACUUCACCCACAGCAACCAUGACUCUGAUCAGCGUCUUCAUCUGUACACUGGUCCUCUGGACUCAAGCAUCCAGAGGUCAGGGGACUGUGACUCAGACUCCUACAUUGCAAACUGUUGCUCCAGGAAACACAGUGACCAUCGGCUGUAGAACCAGUGAGAAUGUGGAUAGUGGUACCAGUCUAUUCUGGUAUCUGCAAAAGCCUGGAGAAGCUCCUAAACUCCUGAUAUCUGAGGCUACACAGUUAAGAUCAGGUAUUCCAGAUCGCUUCAGCGGCAGUGGAUUUAAUACUGACUUCACUCUGACCAUCAGUGGAGUCCAGACUGAAGAUGCAGGACAUUACUACUGUAAGGCUGAACACCGGGUCAGCGGCUGGGUGUUACACAGUGUUAGAGCAUCAUACAAAAACCUCAGUCAGUGAGAGUGCAGAGAAGUACUGCUGCAGCUGGGAGCAAGUGCAGGUGCUCAGGGACACACUGUGGUCGACUGAUAAAGUCAUACUGACAUAUGACUUGUGUGAGGAAGCAGUGACAUUAAACACACUGACUAGCACUGUUCCUCUUUCUGCUGUUGUUAGUGUCAAGUGUGUCGUAAAUCUAAAACUAUAUAAUAAUUCAACAUAAUUCCUAUCUUUUUUUUUUUAAAUAAAGGCUGGAUUAUACAGUGAGAUGUAGAGCAUAGUGACACAUGGUCCAGUAUUUAACAUUCAAUCAAAAAACUGUAACACGUUUCGCCACAAGGCCUGGAGUGAUUUCAGCAUGUUUGGAUGGUUUUUAUCUGAGAAAAAGCCUCUGUAAAACCACCCUAUCCCACAGCUGAGGCAUCACAUGGACACAGGAAGUGAUCAGUCCUGUUCUUGGUGAUGUCACUGUGGUGCCCCAUUUUCUCCACUUGUUGAUAAUGACCUUCCCAGUGUUCCAUGGUACAUCUAAUGUUUGGUCCUAAAGCAAUUAACCAUUUUUACAAUGCUUUACUGUAUAGAGUAUACAGUAUUCCCCAUGCUAGGGACCAAAUUAAUGAUGACAAGAGAACAAAAACAGAGCCAACUCAUUUGUAUUUGUAUUAUGUAAUCUGUAGGAAGCUUCCAGAUAUGACAUGUAAAUGUGUGCGACAACCAAUUAUUAGGACUGAACCAAUUAUUAAAUAAUACAAGAAAACCACAUGACGAAUGUAAAGCAGUUAGUUUUCCCAGAAAAGGAUAUCAGAAAGGGUACUGCUACUACUUACCAACAUCCUAACAUCCUAGUUUACCAAAACCCUCUACGCCCAUGAUUCCACCAGAUCUGUAAGUUUACCUUUGAGAAAAGGCAUGACUAAACAAAUAUGUAUUUAGGCUAGACUUAAACACUGGGACUGAUGACAAGGACAUGAAUGACUGACUUGCUCAAGCUUUAGAGACAUAUUAGAACUGGAAUACAGCUUUUGCCUUUUGUUUUAUUAAGAUUUCAUUCAAGCAGGAAAAAUCAUAGUUUACUUGAAUCAGCCCUUUCUGAAAAAAGAUUUGAUAAACAUUUGAUAAGUCAAAAGUUAAAUAUUUGCAAAGAAAUAUUGCUUCUGGCUUAUACAAGUUAAAUCACUGAAAUGGGUGGUUUGGGUUGUUUAGAUGCUUGUAUCAUAUUUGGCUAGUGUUUAUUAGUUUACAUAUUCACAUUUGACAUGAACUUAUAAUUCUCAUUUGACAAGAACUCAUAAUUUUUGAGUACAUUGCUGUUUGAUAUCAGUGUGUGUCAGAGUGUGUCAAAUGGAUUUCUAUCGCUACAUAGAGAUUAGAUUCAGCUAAACUGGAUGACAUUG